AUAUAUAAGGGAAAAGUGAACAAGACAUUAAGAAUAAGGAUUUUGUAGUAAUUAAACUUAACUAGAGAGACUAAAAGGUAACUUUCCUUUAAAAUAAGCCAACAGCAGCCCCUCGCAUUUCUUGUCCUUCUCCUCGCAUAUCACCUGUCCCUCUCCAUUUUCCCACCAUUUCCGCCACUUCUUUCCCCCCAAUCAGCCGUUAAGCCUUCUUCUCCACCACCUCAGCUCACCGAAAACCUGUUUUUUACUUGUAGUCACCAGAAGAGUACAAAGAAAAGAAGGUGGAGGAGCUGCACUUUGGCUGCCACCUCUUGUUCAGCCAUUUAUCGACCUCAUCUCUCAAAUCUAACAUAAAAAACGGACUCCCCUUUUUUCUGUUUUUGGAAGUCAUGUUCAAGCCUCACUGAAGCCGAAGCUUUCCUAUCUCGAUCCGGUGUCUCCCGGUGAGGUUCAGUCGAAGAUCUUUAUUAGACUCCACGUGUCUCAUGUAGACACUUUCGGAUCCGAAUUCCAACACCAUGAGCUGGACCGGCUUUCAAAUUACGGUGUCAGCUAGGUCUUCCACAGUUCUUCUCCUUGGCAAUUUGACUUCCUCUUUCUUUGGGCUUAAUAUAAUUGAAUUUAUUUAUAUAUUUGAUCAUUAAAAAUCUAGAUUCUCCAUAAUAGUAAUUUUAAAACUUAUUAUUUUAUUUUGGCAUGUUAAACCAAUUGGACAAGUGUUAUUUAAUUGUAUUAACGAAUUGAUUUAAA